rnacentral:rRNA from 1 species
GACAGAGGGGGCAAGCGUUGCUCGGAAUUACUGGGCGUAAAGGGCGCGUAGGCGGCGCGACAAGUCACUUGUGAAAUCUCUGGGCUCAACCCAGAACGGUCAAGUGAUACUGUCGUGCUAGAGUGCGGAAGGGGCAACUGGAAUUCUUGGUGUAGCGGUGAAAUGCGUAGAUAUCAAGAGGAACACCUGCGGCGAAGGCGGGUUGCUGGGCCGACACUGACGCUGAGGCGCGAAAGCUAGGGGAGCGAACGGG